AUUGAACGCUGGCGGCAGGCCUAACACAUGCAAGUCGAGCGAGCGGCGGACGGGUGAGUAAUGUCUGGGAAACUGCCUGAUGGAGGUGGAUAACUACUGGAAACGGUAGCUAAUACUGCAUACCAUCAGAUGUGCCCAGAUGGGGUCAGCUAGUAGGUGGGGUAAUGGCUCACCUAGGGGACGAUCCCUAGCUGGUCUGAGAGGAUGACCAGCAAAACUGGAACGGAGACACGGUCCAGACUCAUACGGGAGGCAGCAGUGGGGAAUAUUGGACAAUGAGCGCAAGCCUGAUGCAGACAUGCCGCGUGUGUGAAGAAGGCCUUCGGGUUGUAAAGCACUUUCAGCGGGGAGGCGUUAACCGAAGAAGAAGCACCGGCUAACUCCGUGCCAGCAGCCGCGGUAAUUC
rnacentral:rRNA from 1 species